UACAUGGGGUGCAAACGUUGCUCGGAAUUAUUGGGCGUAAAGCGCACGUAGGCGGUUCGUUAAGUCAGAUGUGAAAGCCCCCGGCUCAACCGGGGAAGUGCAUCUGAAACUGGCGAGCUAGAGUACGAAAGAGGAUCGCGGAAUUCCCGGUGUAGAGGUGAAAUUCGUAGAUAUCGGGAGGAACACCGAUGGCGGCAGGACGGGCUGCCUGGGAUCCGAUG
rnacentral:rRNA from 1 species